AUAUCUGGUUUUCUAAGAAACAAAUUUAAUUUGGAUUUAAAAUAUAACUUUUUUAUAAUUUAGAAGAUUAGGUUAAUUCUUUAUUUUCAAAUAAUGAACUUUAUGCAGAGCCCUAAUAUCCUAACACUAUUAAAAUAGGCCCAAUAGUAGCCAAUUUAUUUAAGUAUUUUUACUAAAACAAUCCCCGAAUUCUAUUUAACAGCUCUCAACUUAAUAUUAGAAAAUUAUUUUAAACAACUCAAAGUAAGUUUUUAUCAAAUUAUUAGUAAAAUUUUAUUAUUAAAUGAAUCUUCAUUUCAUUUUUAAAAAUUGUUUACAAUAUAAAAUUUCAUUUAAAGAACUAGGCAAAUCCUAUUCUCGCCUGUUUAACAAAAACAUCUCCUAGUGAACUCAAAUACUAGGUCUAACCUGCCCACUGACAAUAGUUUAACGGCCGCGGUAUUUCUGACUGUGCCAAGGUAGCAU
rnacentral:rRNA from 1 species